GAUGAACGCUGGCGGCGUGCCUAAUACAUGCAAGUAGAACGCUGAGGGAAGGAGCUUGCUCUUUCCGGGUGAGUUGCGAACGGGUGAGUAACGCGUAGGUAACCUGCCUGGUAGCGGGGGAUAACUAUUGGAAACGAUAGCUAAUACCGCAUAACAUUAGGUGUUGCAUGAUAUCUACUUAAAAGGCGCAAUUGCACCACUACCAGAUGGACCUGCGGUGUAUUAGCUAGUUGGUGAGGUAACGGCUCACCAAGGCGACGAUACAUAGCCGACCUGAGAGGGGGGUCGGCCGGACUGGGACUGGGACACGGCCCAGGGGCCCUCGGGAAGCAGCAGGAGGGAAACUUCGGGAAUGGGCGGAAGGCUGACCGAGAAACGCCGCGGGAGUGAAGAAGGUUUUCGGGUCCGAAAGCUCGGUUGUAAGGGAAGGAACAGUGUUAGAGUGGAACGUUCACUGUGUGACGGUAUCUGAUCAGAAAGCAACGGCUAACUACGUG
rnacentral:rRNA from 1 species